rnacentral:rRNA from 1 species
GACGAACGCUGGCGGCGUGCUUAACACAUGCAAGUCGAACGGAAAGGCCCUGCUUUUGUGGGGUGCUCGAGUGGCGAACGGGUGAGUAACACGUGAGUAACCUGCCCUUGACUUUGGGAUAACUUCAGGAAACUGGGGCUAAUACCGGAUAGGAGCUCCUGCUGCAUGGUGGGGGUUGGAAAGUUUCGGCGGUUGGGGAUGGACUCGCGGCUUAUCAGCUUGUUGGUGGGGUAGUGGCUUACCAAGGCUUUGACGGGUAGCCGGCCUGAGAGGGUGACCGGGCACAAUGGGACUGAGGUACGGCCCAGACUCCUACGGGAGGCAGGAGGGGGGAAUAUUGCACAAUGGGCGGAAGCCUGAUGCAGGAACGCCGGGUGCGGGAUGAAGGCCUUCGGGUUGGAAACCGCUUUCGCCUGUGACGAAGCGUGAGUGACGGUAAUGGGUAAAGAAGCACCGGCUAACUACGUG